GAUGAACGCUGGCGGCGUGCCUAAUACAUGCCAGUCGAGCGAACGGACGAGAAGCUUGCUUCUCUGAUGUUAGCGGCGGACGGGUGAGUAACACGUGGAUAACCUACCUAUAAGACUGGGAUAACUUCGGGAAACCGGAGCUAAUACCGGAUAAUAUUUUGAACCGCAUGGUUCAAAAGUGAAAGGCGGUCUUGCUGUCACUUAUAGAUGGAUCCGCGCUGCAUUAGCUAGUUGGUAAGGUAACGGCUUACCAAGGCAACGAUGCAUAGCCGACCUGAGAGGGUGAUCGGCCACACUGGAACUGAGACACGGUCCAGACUCCUACGGGAGGCAGCAGUAGGGAAUCUUCCGCAAUGGGCGAAAGACUGACGGAGCAACGCCGCGUGAGUGAUGAAGGUCUUCGGAUCGUAAAACUCUGUUAUUAGGGAAGAACAUAUGUGUAAGUAACUGUGCACAUCUUGACGGUACCUAAUCAGAAAGCCACGGCUAACUACGUG
rnacentral:rRNA from 1 species